AACGCAUAUUGCGCCCUUUGGCAUUCCGAAGGGCAUACCUGUUCGAGCGUCAUUACACCUCUCAAAGAUAACUCUUUGGCGUUGGGCAAUGCCUAAAGGCAUGCCUCAAAAUCAGCGAUGGUGAUAUUCAACCACAGGGCGCACAAACGUCGUCUAGCUGGCGGGAUGUUGUCAGUCAAUUGAUGAAUUUCUAAUUGUUGACCUCGGAUCAGGUAGGAAUACCCGCUGAACUUAA
rnacentral:misc_RNA from 1 species